GACGAACGCUGGCGGCGUGCUUAACACAUGCAAGUCGAACGGAAAGGCCCUGCUUUUGUGGGGUGCUCGAGUGGCGAACGGGUGAGUAACACGUGAGUAACCUGCCCUUGACUUUGGGAUAACUUCAGGAAACUGGGGCUAAUACCGGAUAGGAGCUCCUGCUGCAUGGUGGGGGUUGGAGAGUUUCGGCGGUUGGGGAUGGACUCGCGGCUUAUCAGCUUGUUGGUGGGGUAGUGGCUUACCACGGCUUUGACGGGUAGCCGGCCUGAGAGGGUGACCGGCCACAUUGGGACUGAGAUACGGCCCAGACUCCUACGGGAGGCAGCAGUGGGGAAUAUUGCACAAUGGGCGGAAGCCUGAUGCAGCAACGCCGCGUGCGGGAUGACGGCCGUCGGGUUGUAAACCGCUUUCGCCUGUGACGAAGCGUGAGUGACGGUAAUGGGUAAAGAAGCACCGGCUAACUACGUG
rnacentral:rRNA from 1 species